CCUACGGGAGGCAGCAGUAGGGAAUCUUCGGCAAUGGGGGGAACCCUGACCGAGCAACGCCGCGUGAGUGAAGAAGGUUUUCGGAUCGUAAAGCUCUGUUGUAAGAGAAGAACGUGUGUGAGAGUGGAAAGUUCACACAGUGACGGUAACUUACCAGAAAGGGACGGCUAACUACGUGCCAGCAGCCGCGGUAAUACGUAGGUCCCGAGCGUUGUCCGGAUUUAUUGGGCGUAAAGCGAGCGCAGGCGGUUUGAUAAGUCUGAAGUAAAAGGCUGUGGCUUAACCAUAGUAUGCUUUGGAAACUGUCAAACUUGAGUGCAGAAGGGGAGAGUGGAAUUCCAUGUGUAGCGGUGAAAUGCGUAGAUAUAUGGAGGAACACCGGUGGCGAAAGCGGCUCUCUGGUCUGUAACUGACGCUGAGGCUCGAAAGCGUGGGGAGCAAACAGGAUUAGAUACCCGUGUAGUC
rnacentral:rRNA from 1 species